CCUACGGGUGGCAGCAGUAGGGAAUAUUGCGCAAUGGGGGAAACCCUGAAGCAGCAACGCCGCGUGGAGGAUGAAGGUUUUCGGAUUGUAAACUCCUUUUGUUAGAGAAGAGAAUGACGGUAGCUAACGAAUAAGCACCGGCUAACGCCGUGCCAGCAGCAGCGGUAAUACGGAGGGGGCAAGCGUUACUCGGAAUCACUGGGCGUAAAGAGCGCGUAGGCGGGAUAGCAAGUCAGAUGUGAAAUCCUAUGGCUGAACCAUAGAACUGCAUUUGAAACUGUUAUUCUAGAGUAUGGGAGAGGUAGGUGGAAUUCUUGUUGUCGGGGUUCAAUCCGU
rnacentral:rRNA from 1 species